CACGGGGGGAGCAAGCGUUGUUCGGAAUCACUGGGCGUAAAGGGCGUGUAGGCGGUCGAGUAAGUGAGAUGUGAAAUGCCCCGGCUCACCCGGGGACCUGCAUUUCAUACUGCUCGGCUCGAGUACGGGAGAGGAUGAGGGAAUUCCUGGUGUAGCGGUGAAAUGCGUAGAUAUCAGGAGGAACACCGGUGGCGAAAGCGCUCAUCUGGCCCGAUACUGACGCUGAAGCACGAAAGCUAGGGGAGCAAACGGG
rnacentral:rRNA from 1 species